UACGUAGGGGGCAAGCGUUGUUCGGAUUUACUGGGCGUAAAGGGCGCGUAGGCGGCAAUUCAAGUCAGCUGUGAAAUCUCCGGGCUUAACUCGGAACGGUCAGCUGAUACUGCUUUGCUAGAGUGCAGAAAGGGCAAUCGGAAUUCUUGGUGUAGCGGUGAAAUGCGUAGAUAUCAAGAGGAACACCUGAGGCGAAGGCGGGUUGCUAGGCUGACACUGACGCUGAGGCGCGAAAGCCAGGGGAGCAAACGGG
rnacentral:rRNA from 1 species